UCUCAAACAAUCAACAUCUUUACAUGCAAAUGCCAUCAAAAGGACUUUUUCAAGGCUUGUAAUGAGGUUGGGCUAACAAGAAAAAUUGGUUUUUCUCGAAUGCAAAAUCCUUGAGUCAAGAGAGCUAACAAAAUAUUCAAUAAUUAAGCACAACUCUCUCACCAAUGUCUCUCAUUCCAAAUUUCUUCCUUUUUCUUUUCUUUUUCAUUGAGCUCAUCUUAAUGCUUUUCUUUUUAUCAUCAAUUUUUCUCUUUUCACAACUAUUGAGCUCAAUGCCUUUCACUUGCUUUUUCAACUUUCCCCCGUACAACCCCAAACUUGAACCUUUUCAUCACAUACAAUUAAGCUCAUCCCAACUCAAGGUAAAGAAUGUCAAAACAUGGGUUCAUAUCCUGUUUAAGGCUAAGGUUCAAAAAGGGUAGAAUAUUUUCAAGCAUUUUGGGUGAAAAUUUGGCUAGAGAAGGGUUCUCAAAAAUGGCCUUGAUCAUAUGACAUUCACAUGCAAUUCAAUCGAUCAUCAAGAUUAAGGCAAUAUCAUCCAUGUUUUCCUGUGAACAAUGCAUACAACAAU
rnacentral:lncRNA from 1 species